rnacentral:rRNA from 1 species
UACGUAGGGUGCGAGCGUUGUCCGGAAUUAUUGGGCGUAAAGAGCUCGUAGGCGGUCUGUCGCGUCGAUCGUGAAAACUUGGGGCUUAACCCUGAGCUUGCGGUCGAUACGGGCAUGACUGGAGUUCGGCAGGGGAGACUGGAAUUCCUGGUGUAGCGGUGGAAUGCGCAGAUAUCGGGAGGAACACCAGUGGCGAAGGCGGCACUCUGGGCCGGAACUGACGCUGAGGAGCGAAAGCGUGGGGAGCGAACAGG